rnacentral:rRNA from 1 species
UCUGGCUCAAGAACGAACGCUGGCGGCAGGGCUUAACACAUGCAAGUCGAACGCGUGUAGCAAUACACGAGUGGCGCACGGGUGAGUAACGCGUGGAUAUCUGCCUUUUGGUUCGGAAUAACUCCGGGAAACUGGAGCUAAUACCGGAUGGUUCCUACGGGAUAAAGAUUUAUCGCCAAAAGAUGAGUCCGCGUACGAUUAGCUAGUUGGUGAGGUAAUGGCUCACCAAGGCGACGAUCGUUAGCUGGUCUGAGAGGACGAUCAGCCACACUGGGACUGAGACACGGCCCAGACUCCUACGGGAGGCAGCAGUGGGGAAUAUUGGACAAUGGGGGCAACCCUGAUCCAGCCAUGCCGCGUGAGUGAUGAAGGCCUUCGGGUUGUAAAGCUCUUUUGGCGGGGACGAUGAUGACGGUACCCGCAGAAUAAGCCCCGGCUAACUUCGUG